GAUGUUGGAAUAAAAGAGGAUACGCGAAUGGAGGGGUUUGAAAGAAAAUAGUUUUCUCUCCAUUAAUGACCAAGCACACCUGAAACACUUAUACAAACUUCAUAUCCGUUUCAAUUCACACCGUGCGAACAACACAACAAUCAAAACAUCAUCAUACAACAAAAACGGAAAACCAUUCAAAUACUCAUAAAAACUCCAACAAAGCAGCAAAAAAGAAAAAAGUAACAAGGAAAAGCGAAACCGCAUUCCGUUUCCAUCGACUCACCGCGCGCAGAAAUUUUUAUUUAUUUAUAUUUUGCCUUAUCCGUCAUCCACAUUAGCUAAAGUUUUGAACUGAAAACUGCGAAUUGAAAACCCUAACAUUGUUCAGAGUAACUGUAACUAUUCUCUAACUUAGGGUUUUAAUUUUUAUCUCAUUUUCAAAUUGCAAGUUUUUUGCAGCAUUGGUAGAGUAGAUGAAGCAAGUGAAGCCCUUGCAGUUGUUUCAUAAACUGGUGAAAACAACACAGAAUGAACGUGGAAGGUUGAUGGGUUUAGAUGUUGGUGAUAAAUAUGUUGGUCUUGCUCUUUCUGACUUUGAUAACAAAAUUGCUUCACCUUUCAGUGUUCUCGUCAGGAAGAAGACAAACGUUAAAUUAAUGGCUUCUGAUUUUAAGAGUCUGAUCUCUAAAUAUUCCUUGAAAGGCUUUGUUAUUGGCCUCCCUUUUGACAGACAUCUGGUGUCUUCUGAUGCUGUGCAAAUGAAGGUCUUCAUUGAUAACCUCCGUAGAACAAACAUGCUUGAAGAUGUAGAAUAUACAUUCUGGAAUGAGUGUUUCACGUCAAAGAAUGUAGAGUUGUUGUUAAAGCCUUUGAACUUGAAACAUCCAGUGCAUUCCAAAACCAUGCUAGACAAGUUUGCUGCUGUAGGAAUACUUCAAGGGUACCUGGACUAUGUCAACAGAAAAGCAAAGGUGAUAACACCAGAGUAAGACUUCGUAAUAGUAUAGAGGCGCACCAUAAAUCACAUCUAGAAACAUCUGAAUUUAAAGAUUGUUAACUUUCAUUACUGUUCACCGGAAUGGAGUCAUUAUUGGUUUUCUGUAUUUGGUGACUUUGAAGGUCAACAAGCACUUGAGUAAGAGAAGAGAAACGUUAACUUAGUGGCGUGAAAUAUCACCACCACAUGCAUAUUUUGAAGACUUGAGCUGCAGUUAACUAAUGUACACUCCACCUUCACUAGAUUCAGUAGUUCCAUUGUAGACAGAAGUUUUUUCUCAAACAGUGAGAGGGGUGGGAGAAAUCUUACAAUAAGCAUGAUGGUUUUGUAGAAAAAGAUCUGAAGCAGCAGAUACUAAAUUUUAACUGCUUCAUCGAAAUACAGAAACAUACUUUGCUCGGGUCUUGGUUAA